ACUGGGAUAGUUGGGUCAAAUGGUGGUUCCAUUUCAAGUUUUCUGAGGAAUUUCCAUUCUGCUUCCCAGAGUGGUUGCACCAAUUUGCAUUCCCACCAGCAAU
rnacentral:pre_miRNA from 1 species